GAUGAGAACUCCAUUGAGGGUCGUCAAAGACGAUGACGUUGAUAGGAUGCAGGUGUAAAGACAGCGAUGUCAAAGCCGAGCAUUACUAAUUGCCCGAACACUUUCUUUAG
rnacentral:rRNA from 1 species